rnacentral:rRNA from 1 species
ACAGCAGUAGCCACGGUAAUACAGAGGGUGCGAGCGUUAAUCGGAUUUACUGGGCGUAAAGCGUGCGUAGGCGGCUUCUUAAGUCUGAUGUGAAAUCCCUGAGCUUAACUUAGGAAUUGCAUUCGAUACUGGGAAGCUAGAGUAUGGGAGAGGAUGGUAGAAUUCCAGGUGUAGCGGUGAAAUGCGUAGAGAUCUGGAGGAAUACCGAUGGCGAAGGCAGCCAUCUGGCCUAAUACUGACGCUGAGGUACGAAAGCAUGGGGAGCAAACAGGAUUAGAUACCCCCGUAGUCCCUGUCUCUUAUAC